rnacentral:rRNA from 1 species
UACGGGGGGGGCAAGCGUUGUUCGGAAUUACUGGGCGUAAAGGGCGCGUAGGCGGUCUUGUAAGUCUUGUGUGAAAUCCCUCGGCUUAACUGAGGAACUGCACGAGAUACUGCGAGACUUGAGAUCGGGAGAGGGAAGCGGAAUUCCGGGUGUAGCGGUGAAAUGCGUAGAUAUCCGGAGGAACACCGGUGGCGAAGGCGGCUUCCUGGACCGACACUGACGCUGAGGCGCGAAAGCUAGGGGAGCAAACGGG